GAAGCCUGCCAGACCGCCGCUGGUGCUAGCUGCAAAGCCAUUGCUUAGGCAAUGGGCCGAAAGGCCGCACUGGAGGAACGUCCGGACUGCACAGGACAGCGUAGGAGGUAACACCUCUCCACCGAAAGGCCGCAAGGCACCAAGGUGAGGAUUAGAGCAACAGAGACGAGCCGAUUCAGUUCGGGUGAAACGGGCAAUCUCUACGCGCAGCAAUACCAAAUAGGCACACGUUGAUCUGGUUCCGGAGAGUGUGCGGGUAGGUAGCACCGAGCCGAGUGGGCAACCCUCGGCCCAGAGUAAUGGCGGUCACAUUGAGGGCAACCUCAAUGCACAGAAUCCGGCUUAUCGGCAGGCUUCACAC
rnacentral:RNase_P_RNA from 1 species